rnacentral:rRNA from 1 species
UGGGGAAUAUUGGACAAUGGGCGAAAGCCUGAUCCAGCCAUGCCGCGUGGGUGAAGAAGGUCUUCGGAUUGUAAAGCACUUUAAGUGGGGAGGAAGGGCAGUAAGCGAAGACCUUGCUGUUUUUGACGUUAGCGACAGAAUAAGCACGGGCUAACUGUGUGACAGCAGGCGAGGUAAUAGAGAGGGUGAGAGCGUUAAUGGGAUUUACUGGGCGUAAAGCGGGCGGAGGUGGUUCGUUAAGUGGAAUGUGAAAGCCCCGGGCUCAACCUUGGAAAUGCAUCCAAAAAUGGCGAGCUAGAGUAAGGCAGAGGGUGGUGGAAUUUCCUGUGUAGCGGUGAAAUGCGGAGAUAUAGGAAGGAACACCAGUGGCGAAGGCGACCACCUGGGCUCAUACUGACACUGAGGUGCGAAAGCGUGGGGAGCAAACAGG